AAGAGAUCUGUCCAGCUUUGCACGUUGAAUGACCAGCCAAAUGGGACCCUGAACCCAGUGGCCCUAAUAUCAUUCUGUAUGCUUAGCCUCCAAGCAGAGCUGCCUCCGGGUAGACGCCACUGAACCAAGGCAGAGAGCAGAGGGACACCAGCUCCGGUCGUGACCUUGUGAGUGGCAGGAGGACAUGCCUGCCUCCCACUGACUGCUCAGACCCACACCAAUCUCCAUCAUAGGUGAGGACACCGAGGCUCAGGAGGUCCAGACGGGCCUCAAGUGUGGAGGUCAGGAAGAGGCGAGGCUAAAGCCAGACGCUGCCCUCCAGCCCUCCCUCUGCUCCAUGCUGCGUACCCACUGAACCCCCAAACUGCACAGACUUCUCCUUGGUCCAGAGUCUCCCUUCUGGGCUUUGGCUGACCAGGCCUGGGAGGCCUGGGUCCUCACUGGCCUGCAGUCCCCCUGCCUGGCUACCCCCCUCCACCCUGUUCCACUGGCACCUCCAGUGCCCACCCCGGGAGCCCCUGUCUCGGCUGCAGACAGUGGGAAGUUGAACCCUUUGCUCGUGUCCAGGAAGAGAGGAGAGGGGCACCCUCUGUCCUGGGGUGGUCAGGGAGGGCUCCCUGGAGGAGGUGAGUUCGAUGCUCCUACCUGCAGGGGAGAGGAGGUGGGCCUGAGGCCAGAGGCUCCACACCCUGGAGCAACCAGCUUCCCGGGCCCUAAGGAAGGGGUGCGGCCAGGGUAGGUGGCCCCAUCACUCGAACGUGCUGCCAGCUCAUUUGGGUCGUUAGCACCUAAAGAGGGUGUAAAAGUGACUUACGAGCUGAAAUCAGGUGCUCGGGCAUAAACACGCCAGGCCCAUGAUUGAUCUGACUGGGUAAAUAGC
rnacentral:lncRNA from 1 species